UACGUAGGGGGCAAGCGUUGUCCGGAUUUACUGGGUGUAAGGGCGCGCAGGCGGGUCGGUUAGUCAGAGGUGAAAGCCUGCAGCUUAACUGCAGAACUGCCUUUGAUACUGCCGAUCUUGAGUUCGGAAGAGAGAAGCGGAAUUCCAGGUGUAGUAGUGAAAUACGUAGAUAUCUGGAAGAACACCAGUGGCGAAGGCGGCUUCUUGGUCCGCAACUGACGCUGAGGCGCGAAAGCGUGGGUAGCAAACAGGAUUAGAUACCCCGGUAGUU
rnacentral:rRNA from 1 species